UACGAGAGGCCCAAACGUUAUUCGGAUUUACUGGGCUUAAAGAGUUCGUAGGCGGUGCAGAUAGUGGGGUGUGAAAGCCCUCGGCUCAACCGAGGAAUUGCGCUCCAAACUACUGUGCUAGAGGAACCUAGAGGUGAGCAGAACAGAUGGUGGAGCGGUGAAAUGCGUUGAUAUCAUCUGGAAUACCGGAGGCGAAGGCGGCUCACUGGGGGUUUUCUGACGCUGAGGAACGAAAGCCAGGGUAGCGAACGGG
rnacentral:rRNA from 1 species